rnacentral:rRNA from 1 species
UGAGGAAUACAUGGGUAACCUACCUUGAGAAGGAACUAACCCGCCGAAAGGUGAGCUAAUACCCUAUACGCUAUCUUUUUUUCGAAAAGGAUAGGAAAGCCGGGUCGAGGACCUGGUACUCAAGGAGGGGCUCAUGUCCUAUCAGCUUGUUGGUGGGGUAACGGCCUACCAAGGCUACGACGGGUAGCUGGUCUGAGAGGAUGAUCAGCCACACUGGCACUGAGAUACGGGCCAGACUCCUACGGGAGGCAGCAGUGAGGAAUAUUGCGCAAUGGGCGAAAGCCUGACGCAGCGACGCCGCGUGGGGAUGAAGGUUUUCGGAUUGUAAACCCCUUUCAUGAGGAAAGAUAAAGUGGGUAACCACUUAGACGGUACCUCAAGAAGAAGCCACGGCUAACUUCGUG